UACGGAGGGUGCAAACGUUGCUCGGAAUCAUUGGGCGUAAAGCGCACGUAGGUGGCCUGUUAAGUCGGGUGUGAAAUCCCUGGGCUCAACCAAGGAAGUGCAUCCGAAACUGCUGAGCUUGAGUACUUAAGAGGAUCGCGGAAUUCCCGGUGUAGAGGUGAAAUUCGUAGAUAUUCGGAGGAACACCAGUGGCGAAGGCGGCUCACUGGUCCGGUACUGACGCUGAGGUGCGAAAGCGUGGGGAGCGAACAGG
rnacentral:rRNA from 1 species